GAUGAACGCUGGCGGCGUGCCUAAUACAUGCAAGUCGAGCGAACAGACGAGGAGCUUGCUCCUCUGACGUUAGCGGCGGACGGGUGAGUAACACGUGGAUAACCUACCUAUAAGACUGGGAUAACUUCGGGAAACCGGAGCUAAUACCGGAUAAUAUAUUGAACCGCAUGGUUCAAUAGUGAAAGACGGUUUUGCUGUCACUUAUAGAUGGAUCCGCGCCGCAUUAGCUAGUUGGUAAGGUAACGGCUUACCAAGGCAACGAUGCGUAGCCGACCUGAGAGGGUGAUCGGCCAAACUGGAACUAAGACACGGUCCAGACUCCUACGGGAGGCAGCAGUAGGGAAUCUUCCGCAAUGGGCGAAAGCUUGACGGAGCAACGCCGCGUGAGUGAUGAAGGUCUUCGGAUCGUAAAACUCUGUUAUUAGGGAAGAACAAAUGUGUAAGUAACUAUGCACGUCUUGACGAUACCUAAUCAGAAAGCCACGGCUAACUACGUG
rnacentral:rRNA from 1 species